rnacentral:rRNA from 1 species
GGACUCAUAUUGAAACCUAGUGAUGUAUGAGUUAGUGGCGGACGGCUGCGUAACGCGUGGAGAACCUGCCGUAUACUGGGGGAUAACACUUACAAAUAGGUGCUAAUACCGCAUAAGCGCACAGCUUCGCAUGAAGCAGUGUGGAAAACAAAAAGCUAAAGCUUUUGGUGGUAUACGAUGGAUCCGCGUCUGAUUAGCUGGUUGGCGGGGUAAAGGCCCACCAAGGCGACGAUCAGUAGCCGGCCUGAGAGGGUGAACGGCCACAUUGGGACUGAGACACGGCCCAAACUCCUACGGGAGGCAGCAGUGGGGAAUAUUGCACAAUGGGGGAAACCCUGAUGCAGCGACGCCGCGUGAGUGAAGAAGUAUUUCGGUAUGUAAAGCUCUAUCAGCAGGGAAGAAAAUGACGGUACCUGACUAAGAAGCCCCGGCUAACUACGUGCCAGCAGCCGCGGUAAUACGUAGGGGGCAAGCGUUAUCCGGAUUUACUGGGUGUAAAGGGAGCGUAGACGGCAGCGCAAGUCUGGAGUGAAAUCCCAUGGCUUAACCAUGGAACUGCUUUGGAAACUGUGCAGCUAGAGUGCAGGAGAGGUAAGCGGAAUUCCUAGUGUAGCGGUGAAAUGCGUAGAUAUUAGGAGGAACACCAGUGGCGAAGGCGGCUUACUGGACUGUAACUGACGUUGAGGCUCGAAAGCGUGGGGAGCAAA